rnacentral:pre_miRNA from 1 species
AGCCCUCUGUAUCCGUGCUGAGAUUUCGUCACACACCAGACCACAAGGGCUGAUGAGACUCCCAAGUUAGAUAAAUAGAAUA